CCACAGGUUCCAGAGAUUAGGAUGCGGGCAUCUCUGGGGAGCCAUUGUUCUACCACAGUGGAUAGAGCAGCCAAGGCAGGUGUUCCUGAGGAGGAAGUGAAUGGUGGGGCUUCGGCUCUGACUUCUCCUCUGGUGUCCAGGAGCACAGCACCUCCGGCCCCUCAGUCUCAUGGAUCCCUCUGGCCUCCCUCUUGGAUAUCCUGGCUUUGGUUAAAGUACAUCCUUAUGAAGGAAUGCACAAGAGAAUGGCAUCAAUCAAAUUUAAAAUAAUGCAAUCCUCAUUUGGCAUCAAGCCUUGGAGACAUCUUAAAACCUAUUCUCUGGCCUUCGAGGAUAUCCUGAUGAUCCAUGAGAAAUGUCAAAAUGAUCCCCGAUUUCCACAGUGGAUUACAACUUCAAGAGCAGCGCCUAUCACUGUAAGGAUAAAUCUCUCUGCAGGCUUAAUCUCUUUGAGAAUUCCAUUUAUAUUAAAAGAAAAACACUUUGCUAUGUAUUUGUACAUUAAAAAAAAAACCCAGGAUUGAAA
rnacentral:lncRNA from 12 species